CACACUUUUUCCUUCUGGUCUAAUUCUUUGCAGACCUCUGAAAAUAACCAAGAAGCCAUCGCCUUCAUCAUCUGAACCCCAGACCUCAGAAGAGAUUCAUUUUCAACCUUUGAUUCAAAUUACUCUUUCAGAUAUUGAAGUCUUGUCAUAAAGUCUGUAAUCAUUUCCUGGAAGCUCAGUUUUCAAAGCUCAAGAACAUCAACUCAGAUCUUUUUGAGGACUUCUCAGCAGAUGAUAUGAGAUGACAAAAAUGAUCACAUCUCUAGACAAGAAGCUGCAUGGGAGAUUUGGAGGGCAAGCUCAAAUUGUCUAGAGAUUUCUUCUCAAGAGAAAUUUGAGUUUUGAGAAAGAGUAACUUAAUCAUUAUAGGUAUUUUAUCCAUAGUGAUUGGAACACUUUAUACUGG